rnacentral:rRNA from 1 species
GCAAGUCGAACGAAGUAGCAAUACUUAGUGGCAGACGGGUGAGUAACAUGUAGGUAUCUGCCCUUUGGCCUGGAAUAACACGAGGAAACUUGUGCUAAUACCGGAUAAGUCUUUACGGAGAAAGCUUUAUGCACCAUUGGAUGUGCCUGCACUUGAUUAGUUUGUUGGUGGGGUAAUGGCCUACCAAGACUGUGAUCAAUAGCUGAUUUGAGAGGAUGAUCAGCCACAUUGGGACUGAGACACGGCCCAAACUCCUACGGGAGGCAGCAGUGGGGAAUCUUGCACAAUGGAGGAAACUCUGAUGCAGCGAUGCCGCGUGAGUGAAGAAGGCCUUUGGGCUGUAAAGCUCUUUCGUCGGGGAAGAAAAUGACUGUACCCGAAUAAGAAGGUCCGGCUAACUUCGUGCCAGCAGCCGCGGUAAUACGAAGGGACCUAGCGUAGUUCGGAAUUACUGGGCUUAAAGAGUUCGUAGGUGGUUGAAAAAGUUAGUGGUGAAAUCCCAGAGCUUAACUCUGGAACUGCCAUUAAAACUUUGCAGCUAGAGUAUGAUAGAGGAAAGCAGAAUUUCUAGUGUAGAGGUGAAAUUCGUAGAUAUUAGAAAGAAUACCAAUAGCGAAGGCAGCUUUCUGGAUCAUUACUGACACUGAGGAACGAAAGCAUGGGUAGCGAAGAGGAUUAGAUACCCUCGUAGUCCAUGCCGUAAACGAUGUGUGUUAGACGUUGGAAAUUUAUUUUCAGUGUCGCAGCGAAAGCGAUAAACACACCGCCUGGGGAGUACGACCGCAAGGUUAAAACUCAAAUGAAUUGACGGGGACCCGCACAAGUAGUGGAGCAUGUGGUUUAAUUCGAAGAUACGCGCAGAACCUUACCACACUUGACAUGUUCGUCGCGACUCUA